UACGAAGGGGGCUAGCGUUGCUCGGAAUCACUGGGCGUAAAGGGUGCGUAGGCGGGUCUUUAAGUCAGGGGUGAAAUCCUGGAGCUCAACUCCAGAACUGCCUUUGAUACUGAGGAUCUUGAGUUCGGGAGAGGUGAGUGGAACUGCGAGUGUAGAGGUGAAAUUCGUAGAUAUUCGCAAGAACACCGGUGGCGAAGGCGGCCCGCUGGGAUACUUGCUGACGCUGAGGCGCGACAGCGUGGGGAGCAAACAGG
rnacentral:rRNA from 1 species